rnacentral:rRNA from 1 species
UACAGAGACUGCAAGCGUUAUUCGGAUUCACUGGGCGUAAAGGGUGCGCAGGCGGCCAAGUGUGUGAGGCGUGAAAGCCCGGGGCUUAACCCCGGAAUUGCACCUCAAACUACAUGGCUAGAGCAUUGGAGAGGGAAGCGGAAUUCACGGUGUAGCAGUGAAAUGCGUAGAGAUCCGGAAGAACACCGGUGGCGAAGGCGGCCUGCUGGGCAGUAGCUGACGCUGAGGCGCGACAGCGUGGGGAGCAAACAGG